rnacentral:rRNA from 1 species
UGCAGUCGAGGGGCAGCAUGGUCUUAGCUUGCUAAGGCCGAUGGCGACCGGCGCACGGGUGAGUAACACGUAUCCAACCUGCCGUCUACUCUUGGACAGCCUUCUGAAAGGAAGAUUAAUACAAGAUGGCAUCAUGAGUCCGCAUGUUCACAUGAUUAAAGGUAUUCCGGUAGACGAUGGGGAUGCGUUCCAUUAGAUAGUAGGCGGGGUAACGGCCCACCUAGUCUUCGAUGGAUAGGGGUUCUGAGAGGAAGGUCCCCCACAUUGGAACUGAGACACGGUCCAAACUCAUACGGGAGGCAGCAGUGAGGAAUAUUGGUCAAUGGGCGAGAGCCUGAACCAGCCAAGUAGCGUGAAGGAUGACUGCCCUAUGGGUUGUAAACUUCUUUUAUAAAGGAAUAAAGUCGGGUAUGCAUACCCGUUUGCAUGUACUUUAUGAAUAAGGAUCGGCUAACUCCGUGCCAGCAGCCGCGGUAAUACGGAGGAUCCGAGCGUUAUCCGGAUUUAUUGGGUUUAAAGGGAGCGUAGAUGGAUGUUUAAGUCAGUUGUGAAAGUUUGCGGCUCAACCGUAAAAUUGCAGUUGAUACUGGAUAUCUUGAGUGCAGUUGAGGCAGGCGGAAUUCGUGGUGUAGCGGUGAAAUGCUUAGAUAUCACGAAGAACUCCGAUUGCGAAGGCAGCCUGCUAAGCUGCAACUGACAUUGAGGCUCGAAAGUGUGGGUAUCAAACAGGAUUAGAUACCCUGGUAGUCCACACGGUAAACGAUGAAUACUCGCUGUUUGCGAUAUACGGCAAGCGGCCAAGCGAAAGCGUUAAGUAUUCCACCUGGGGAGUA